rnacentral:rRNA from 1 species
UGGGGAAUUUUGGACAAUGGGCGAAAGCCUGAUCCAGCAAUGCCGCGUGUGUGAAGAAGGCCUUCGGGUUGUAAAGCACUUUUGUCCGGAAAGAAAUCCUUGGCUCUAAUACAGUCGGGGGAUGACGGUACCGGAAGAAUAAGCACCGGCUAACUACGUGCCAGCAGCCGCGGUAAUACGUAGGGUGCAAGCGUUAAUCGGAAUUACUGGGCGUAAAGCGUGCGCAGGCGGUUUGCUAAGACCGAUGUGAAAUCCCCGGGCUCAACCUGGGAACUGCGUUGGUGACUGGCAGGCUAGAGUAUGGCAGAGGGGGGUAGAAUUCCACGUGUAGCAGUGAAUGCGUAGAGAUGUGGAGGAAUACCGAUGGCGAAGGCAGCCCCCUGGGCCAAUACUGACGCUCAUGCACGAAAGCGUGGGGAGCAAACAGGAUUAGAUACCCUGGUAGUCCACGCCCUAAACGAUGUCAACUAGUUGUUGGGGAUUCAUUUCCUUAGUAACGUAGCUAACGCGUGAAGUUGACCGCCUGGGGAGUACGGUCGCAAGAUUAAAACUUAAAUGAAUUGACGGGGUCAUAGCUGUUUCCU